AAUAUUGGACAAUGGGCGAAAGCCUGAUCCAGCCAUGCCGCGUGUGUGAAGAAGGUCUUCGGAUUGUAAAGCACUUUAAGUUGGGAGGAAGGGCAGUAAGUUAAUACCUUGCUGUUUUGACGUUACCGACAGAAUAAGCACCGGCUAACUCUUUGCUAGCAGCCGCGGUAAUACAGAGGGUGCAAGCGUUAAUCAGAAUUACUGGGCGUAAAGCGCGGGUAGGUGGUUUGUUAAGUUGGAAGUGAAAUCCCCGGGCUUAACCUGGGAACUGCUUUCAUAACUGCUGAGCUAGAGUACGGUAGAGGGUAGUGGAAUUUCCUGUGUAGCGGUGAAAUGCGUAGAUAUAGGAAGGAACACCAGUGGCGAAGGCGACUACCUGGACUGAUACUGACACUGAGGUGCGAAAGCGUGGGGAGCAAAC
rnacentral:rRNA from 1 species